rnacentral:rRNA from 1 species
UACCAGCACCCCGAGUGGUCGGGACGUUUAUUGGGCCUAAAGCAUCCGUAGCCGGUUCUACAAGUCUUCCGUUAAAUCCAACUGCUUAACAGGUGGGCUGCGGAAGAUACUAUAGAGCUAGGAGGCGGGAGAGGCAAGCGGUACUCAGUGGGUAGGGGUAAAAUCCUUUGAUCCAUUGAAGACCACCAGUGGCGAAGGCGGCUUGCCAGAACGCGCUCGACGGUGAGGGAUGAAAGCUGGGGGAGCAAACCGA